rnacentral:lncRNA from 1 species
GCCCCUCCUGUGAUCAAAACCCCAGCCCUCUGGUACACAACGCCCUAUUAUCUCCCCCCAACGGAUCAUUACCUGGUCCCUGCCCCUCCCCCAGCUCCAAGACAGGCUCUCAGGCCCCUCGGGAUCUUCUUAAGCUCCGGGUCCUGGCCCCUCCAAUCCUGGCCCGUGGCCCCCGGCCACCCCUCCCCGCCCCCCAAGAGGCCCUGCCCUCGCCUUCCUCUCCCCCUCCCACCAUGCUCCACCGCCACUUCCGCCUGAGUCCGCCGGAAGUGAAUCCAGGGCAACUGCAGCGGCCCGGAGCCCCGCCUCUUCAUGGUCCCCUCGGUCCAGACUCCGACAGAAGGCCUUGGACUUCCCUCAGCCCCAUCUGCUCUGGCCAAGGACAAAAGACAGAGGUCUUCCAUAGUACUUACAGUCCCCGAACAGGAGGAUAUCCCAACAUCAGGAGUGCUACACACUGAGGCCUGACCAAGAUGUACUUAGAAGGUAAUGCAGGACUUGGAGGGGAGGGAUUCAAAGAAACAUAGGAAAUUAAUGGAAAGCCUCAGGGGACCAACCUUUUACCUUGUAUGGCUUAUUGUGUUGUAACAAUAUUAGAAUAAUUAGCUUAUUUUAAACCUAUAGGGCAAAAUAAUGGUCCCUAAAUCUAUUUACUUCCCUCCUAUUCAGAUUUAGGAAAUUUAUUUUAGCUGAAAAGUUCUGAGUUCAGUCACAGUCACUCGCAGAGUACUGACUUGGGAAAGUUUUUAUCACCUAAGCUGAUCCUCACCACUACCUCUUAGAAUCCCUUUUUGACACUUACCUCAAGUGCCACUAUCUUCUAGAAGCCUUUCCUGAUUCCCCAAACUUGUGCCUUCCAUUACAAAAUUAUCUUGUAUGAAUUUUGUAUAUUCCUAUGCAUGUAUACAUUGUCUCCCUUCCCUCAAUUGUAGGGCCUCAAGAUUAGGGACCCUUUCACUUUUGUCUUUGUAUCCUCAGUGACCUGCACGGUCCCUGGCACAGAGCAGGUAUUCAGUAAGUACUUGUUGAAUAAUUGCCAUGCUCCUUGAACAUACAAUCUCUUGAAGCUACAGAACUCAAAUAUUUGCAGAGGUUGGACAGUCACUUUGAUGGUGCUGAGAAUAAUAAUGAUAGCUCUAUGUAGUUUCUUAAUACCAUCCCACAACAUGGGAGAAAAGCGGUCCUGAUUCAGAGAACAGUAAUGAAAAAGGGCUAUACCUGUGGAAAGCAUGGAUCAUGGUAGACAGAGCCAAGCAAUCAAGGCAGUGGUACAAGAUGAAGCCAUGUAGGUGAAAUUAGUAAUGUGUAUAUGCAAAGGUGCCCUUCAGGCAUGCAGGAUGUAUAUGGUUACAGUAAUGGAGACAGUAGGCAAAAGCUAAAAAAUUUGACCAUACACAUAACAGGGUUUCUUCUCAGGGAGACUAACUCAAAUCUAUCAAAUCAUACUGAGAAAAAUUUGAA